rnacentral:rRNA from 1 species
CCUCUUGCAAAAUUAACGAAUAAGAGGUCCCGCCUGCCCUGUGACUAUAUGUUUAACGGCCGCGGUAUUUUGACCGUGCGAAGGUAGCGCAAUCACUUGUCUUUUAAAUGGAGACCUGUAUGAAUGGCAUCACGAGGGCUUAACUGUCUCCCCUCCCCAGUCAAUGAAAUUGAUCUCCCCGUGCAGAAGCGGGGAUAAAAACAUAAGACGAGAAGACCCUAUGGAGCUUUAGACGUCAGAGCAGCUCAUGUUAAGCACCCCCUGAACAAAGGAAAAAACAAAAUGGAUCCUGCCCUAGUGUCUUUGGUUGGGGCGGCCGCGGGGAAAUACAAAACCCCCAUGUGAAGUGGGAAUACACAUUCCUAAACCCAAGAGCUCCCGCUCUAAUGAACAGAAAUUCUGACCAACAAGAUCCGGCAUAUGCCGAUCAACGGACCGAGUUACCCUAGGGAUAACAGCGCAAUCCCCUUAAAGAGCCCUUAUCGACAAGGGGGUUUACGACCUCGAUGUUGGAUCAGGACAUCCUAAUGGUGCAGCCGCUAUUAAGGGUUCGUUUGUUCAACGAUUAAAGUCCU